ACGGGUGAGUAACACGUGGGAACGUACCCUUUGGUUCGGAAUAACGCUGGGAAACUAGCGCUAAUACCGGAUACGCCCUUUUGGGGAAAGGCUUGCUGCCGAAGGAUCGGCCCGCGUCUGAUUAGCUAGUUGGUGGGGUAAUGGCCUACCAAGGCGACGAUCAGUAGCUGGUCUGAGAGGAUGAUCAGCCACACUGGGACUGAGACACGGCCCAGACACCUACGGGAGGCAGCAGUGGGGAAUAUUGGACAAUGGGCGCAAGCCUGAUCCAGCCAUGCCGCGUGAGUGAUGAAGGCCUUAGGGUUGUAAAGCUCUUUUGUCCGGGACGAUAAUGACGGUACCGGAAGAAUAAGCCCCGGCUAACUUCGUGCCAGCAGCCGCGGUAAUACGAAGGGGGCUAGCGUUGCUCGGAAUCACUGGGCGUAAAGGGCGCGUAGGCGGCCAUUCAAGUCGGGGGUGAAAGCCUGUGGCUCAACCACAGAAUUGCCUUCCAUACUGUUUGGCUUGAGUUUGGUAGAGGUUGGUGGAACUGCGAGUGUAGAGGUGAAAUUCGUAGA
rnacentral:rRNA from 1 species